UGAUUUGGGUUUCUACUGACGGUGAUCAGUUCAGUGUGUGUGUGUAUUAUAGUGAGAGGAACAGAGGGAGGACAAGUGUUUCUGAAUUGUCCUUAUGCUGAAGGAUAUGAAAACUCCUACAAAUACUUCUAUAAAGGACCUUUCAGAGAUAAUAAUCUUAUACUAAAAUCUGACGGAAGAGAGUCAUCAGUGUCUGAAGGCAGAUUCUCUCUGCUGGACGAUCAUCAGAAGAGAUUAUUUACGCUGACCAUCAGAAACCUGAGUCUGACAGAUGCUGGAGAGUACACCUGUGGAGCUGGAUGGGGAACAGAAUAUAAAAACAUCCAUCUGAAUGUGAUCAGAGCACCACAGAAAACAAAACCUGUCCAGAUCUCAACCAGCACCCUUCACUCGUACACACACACCAGCACUGACCACAGCAGCACAGUGACACCUCAAACAGAAAGUGAAACGACAAGAGAACAAUAACAGGAAG